CUACAUCUACCCUGUAGAUCCGAAUUUGUAGUUGCAUCACAAGACAAAUUCGGUUCUAGAGAGGUUCGUGUGGG
rfam:Daphnia pulex DAPPTscaffold_7_Cont468, whole genome shotgun sequence.